UACGUAGGGGGCAAGCGUUGUCCGGAUUUAUUGGGCGUAAAGAGCGUGUAGGCGGUCUGAAAGGUCAGCUGUGAAAACUCGAGGCUCAACCUCGAGACGUCGGUUGAAACCAUCUGGCUAGAGUCCGGAAGAGGAGUGUGGAAUUCCCGGUGUAGCGGUGAAAUGCGCAGAUAUCGGGAAGAACACCCGUGGCGAAGGCGGCACUCUGGGCCGAUACUGACGCUGAGGAGCGAAAGCGUGGGGAGCGAACAGG
rnacentral:rRNA from 1 species